rnacentral:tRNA from 1 species
GGGCGGGUGGCCGAGUGGUUGAAGGCACCAGACUGUAAAUCUGGCCGGGUCAUGCCGAACGCUGGUUCGAAUCCAGCCCCGUCCACCA